GCCACUGUAGCUCAGCGGUAGAGCGGCGGUUUCGUAAACCGCAGGCCGGGGGUUCAAACCCCUCCAGUGGCUCCA
rnacentral:tRNA from 1 species